rnacentral:rRNA from 1 species
CUCGAAGAUGGGGGGACCAUCCUCCAAGGCUAAAUACUCGUAAUCGACCGAUAGCGAACCAGUACUGUGAAGGAAAGGCGAAAAGAACCCCGGGAGGGGAGUGAAAUAGAUCCUGAAACCGCAUACAUACAAACAGUAGGAGCCCGCAAGGGUGACUGCGUACCUUUUGCAUAAUGGGUCAGCGACUUACGUUCAAUGGCAAGCUUAACCGAGUAGGGGAGGCGCAGCGAAAGCGAGUCCGAACAGGGCGAUAUGAGUCGUUGGGCGUAGACCCGAAACCAGAUGAUCUAUCCAUGGCCAGGCUGAAGGUGUGGUAACACACACUGGAGGGCCGAACCGACUAGUGUUGCAAAAUUAGCGGAUGAGCUGUGGAUAGGGGUGAAAGGCUAAACAAAUCUGGAGAUAGCUGGUUCUCCCCGAAAACUAUUGAGGUAGUGCCUCGUGUAUGGCUCCAGGGGGUAGAGCACUGUUAUGGCUAGGGGGACAUGGCGUCUUACCAAACCAUGGCAAACUCCGAAUACUUGGAAGUCUGAGCACGGGAGACAGAGCACCGGGUGCUAACGUCCGGACUCAAAAGGGAAACAACCCAGACCGCCGGCUAAGGUCCCUAAUAUUGACUAAGUGGAAAACGAAGUGGGAAGGCUAAGACAGUCAGGAAGUUGGCUUAGAAGCAGCCAUCCUUCAAAGAAAGCGUAAUAGCUCACUGAUCGAGUCUUCCUGCGCGGAAGAUGUAACGGGGCUAAGUCAAUAACCGAAGCCGCGGAUUCGCAGCAAUGCGAGUGGUAGGGGAGCGUUCUGUAAGCCUGCGAAGGCGGAUCUGCGAGGACCGCUGGAGGUAUCAGAAGUGCGAAUGCUGACAUGAGUAACGUUAAAGCGGGUGAAAAGCCCGCUCGCCGCAAGCCCAAGGUUUCCUGCUCUACGUUCAUCGGAGCAGGGUGAGUCGGCCCCUAAGGUCAGGCUGAGAAGCGUAGCUGAUGGGAAGCUGGUUAAUAUUCCAGCACCGAUUUCAAGUGCGAAGGGGGGACGGAGUCCUGAAGGUCAUCCGGGUGUUGGAUAUCCCGGUUUACGAGCGUAGGAGGUUGACAGGCAAAUCCGUCAACGAAUCUCCAAGGCGAAGGAUCGAGGUUGAGAGAUCAACUGAAGUGACUGAAUGGGCUUCCAGGAAAAGCCUCUAAGCAUCAGCUUGGAAUUGACCGUACCGCAAACCGACACUGGUGGGCGAGCUGAAUAUGCUCAGGCGCUUGAGAGAACUCAGGAGAAGGAACUCGGCAAAUUGACCCCGUAACUUCGGGAUAAGGUGUGCCUUUGUAGUGUGAAGGGAGAAACACCCCGAGCAUGAAGAGGCCUCAGAGAAUCGGUGGCUGCAACUGUUUACUAAAAACACAGCACUCUGCAAAGAUGAAAGUCGACGUAUAGGGUGUGAUGCCUGCCCGGUGCUGGAAGAUUAAUUGAUGGGGUGCAAGCUCCUGAUCGAAGUCCCAGUAAACGGCGGCCGUAACUAUAACGGUCCUAAGGUAGCGAAAUUCCUUGUCGGGCAAGUUCCGACCUGCACGAAUGGCAUAAUGAUGGCCACACUGUCUCCUCCUGAGACUCAGUGAAGUUGAAAUGUUUGUGAUGAUGCAAUCUCCCCGCGGCUAGACGGAAAGACCCCAUGAACCUUUACUGCAGCUUUGCAUUGGACUUUGAACCGAUCUGUGUAGGAUAGGUGGGAGGCAGUGAAGCUAGGACGCCAGUCUUAGCGGAGCCAACCUUGAAAUACCACCCUGAUUUGUUUGAGGUUCUAACCUAGGAGCGUGAUCCGCUUCGGGGACCGUGCAUGGUAGGCAGUUUGACUGGGGCGGUCUCCUCCUAAAGGGUAACGGAGGAGUGCGAAGGUACGCUAGGUACGGUCGGAAAUCGUGCUGAUAGUGCAAUGGCAAAAGCGUGCUUGACUGCGAGACCGACAAGUCGAGCAGAUACGAAAGUAGGUCAUAGUGAUCCGGUGGCUCUGCAUGGAAGGGCCAUCGCUCAACGGAUAAAAGGUACUCUGG